UACGUAGGGUGCAAGCGUUGUCCGGAAUUAUUGGGCGUAAAGAGCUCGUAGGCGGUUUGUCGCGUCGCUGUGAAAACCUGGGGCUCAACCCCGGGCCUGCAGCCGAUACGGGCAAACUAGAAUUCGGUAGGGGAGACUGGAAUUCCUGGUGUAGCGGUGAAAUGCGCAGAUAUCAGGAGGAACACCAAUAGCGAAGGCAGCUCGCUGGGACGGUACUGACGCUGAGGCGCGAAAGCGUGGGGAGCAAACAGG
rnacentral:rRNA from 1 species